GACGAACGCUGGCGGCGUGCUUAACACAUGCAAGUCGAACGGUGAAGCGCCUUCCUUUUUGGUGGGUGUGGAUGAGUGGCGAACGGGUGAGUAACACGUGAGUAACCUGCCCCCUUCUUCUGGAUAACCGCAUGAAAGUGUGGCUAAUACGGGAUAUUCUGGGUCUGUCGCAUGAUGGGUCUGGGAAAGAUAUUGUUUCGGUGGGGGAUGGGCUCGCGGCCUAUCAGCUUGUUGGUGGGGUGAUGGCCUGCGAAGGCGGUGACGGGUAGCCGGCCUGAGAGGGUGGACGGUCACACUGGGACUGAGACACGGCCCAGACUCCUACGGGAGGCAGCAGUGGGGAAUAUUGCACAAUGGGCGCAAGCCUGAUGCAGCGACGCCGCGUGAGGGAUGGAGGCCUUCGGGUUGUGAACCUCUUUCGCCAGUGAAGCAGGCCUGCCUCGUUUGUGGGUGGGUUGACGGUAGCUGGAUAAGAAGCGCCGGCUAACUACGUG
rnacentral:rRNA from 1 species